AAACGAGGCCUUCGUCCGAGACGGCCCGUCGCCGAGUAAGGGCGGCACGCUGCCGCCGGCCAGCGCCAGUCUGUACACGGGCCAGCCCAAGCCCGACGAGCUGUACGACCGGCUACGGAAGCACGCCUACACCGGCAACAGAGACACGGAAGACAUUCCCAUCGGCCACGACGACCAAGCGUGCUAGAUCGCCGUGUAACCGUUCGGUGUCGAAACAGCGAGGCCCGGCCGGCCCCGUCAGCCCCGCGGGGCCAGCAAGGCCGUCUUUCAGCUGACCACGGGAGCCGGCGCGGCGGCGCGGCCCUCUCCUCGCGACGUUACGUCAGUCACGGCCGCUCCGAUUCCGCGUCGGUCCAGACCUCUGCCAA